GCGGGGCAGAGCGAAGCCGCAGCCGCCGGUGGUGUCGUCUGUCAGGAAGGGCUCCGGAGACUCGUACACAGAGUCAUCUGAGAGAGACACAAACAGUUCACACCCAUACUCAGAAAAUGUCCUGGUUGAUGGAGACGUUAACGCUGCACAGGAACAACACUGAAGGCUUCAUCAGUUCUGACUGGCUCAGGAGAACAAGUGACUCAAACUACUGUCGUCACAGGAUCCAUCACUUUGACCCCCAGCAAGUCAUUCGGACCUGAAGAAGCCUCUUGGAUGUGAAGCGAAACGUCUUCGAGUAUCUUCAACCAAGUCCAGUUGCCCUUGAUUUUAACCGAUCACUCAAUAAAGAUUAAGUUCUCUGAUCUUCAGAAUAAAAGCAGA